GGGAGGCAGCAGGUGGGAAUAUUGCACAAUGGGCGCAAGCCUGAUGCAGCGACGCCGCGUGAGGGAUGACGGCCUUCGGGUUGUAAACCUCUUUCAGUAGGGAAGAAGCGAAAGUGACGGUACCUGCAGAAGAAGCACCGGCCAACUACGUGCCAGCAGCCGCGGUAAUACGUAGGGUGCAAGCGUUGUCCGGAAUUAUUGGGCGUAAAGAGCUCGUAGGCGGUUUGUUGCGUCGGCUGUGAAAACCUGAGGCUCAACCUCAGGCCUGCAGUCGAUACGAGCAGACUAGAGUGUUGCAGGGGAGACUGGAAUUCCUGGUGUAGCGGUGAAAUGCGCAGAUAUCAGGAGGAACACCGGUGGCGAAGGCGGGUCUCUGGGCCGAUACUGACGCUGAGGAGCGAAAGCAUGGGGAGCGAACAGGAUUAGAUACCCUGGUAGUCCAUGCCGUAAACGUUGGGCACUAGGUGUGGGGACCAUUCCACGGUUUCCGCGCCGCAGCUAACGCAUUAAGUGCCCCGCCUGGGGAGUACGGCCGCAAGGUUAAAACUCAA
rnacentral:rRNA from 1 species